rnacentral:lncRNA from 1 species
GGAUAAUUUAUUUGAUUUCAAAAUGCUGCCACAUUUAUACAUGGAAAACUUUAAAGAAAAUUAAACUCAUUAAAAAAAACACAUAAAUUGUUUUUGCAACAAAGCAAUUAAGAAAUCUUGCCUCUCCAGCAUGGUGGGCAACAUUCUAAAUAAAAUAAAGCCCAAAUUACCUUUUGCUGGAAACAAAGUAAGAGCUAUCUCUUGUGACUUAAUAAGAAAUUGAGGUUUUUAGAAUUAGUAAAAAGAUUUAGAAGCUCCCUUCUAUAUGUGUUGCUAAGCAUUUUGCUGAAAUUGCCUCAGUAAAAAAGCAAACAAUUCAAAAGGAUCACAUCUAUGAGAGAAUUUCUUUUUUGCCAACUAAAUUACUCUGCUUUACGGGAUGCAGAAGGGAGUCAAGGAUUUUAUUUUCUUCCUUCAGUGCAUGGAUAUACAAAGGUUUGAUAGGGUUUAGCUUUGUUUUAUUUCCAUUGUCUUAGCUUCUCACUACUCCUUAAAACCCCUACGUUUCUAUGGGAACAGAGAAAUAACACAGAGUCAAUGGAUUGAAAAAUAUGGGGCCUGUCCUCCAAGCCCUGAGGCGUGGGCUUUGUGCUCACCAGCAGCCCCUUUGAAGGCAGAGACGGGAACCAGGCGCCCCUGGCUCGUGGGGUGGCGGUGGGCACGGUGCUGCCAGCUGCAGGAGCUGCCCCAUGGCCCUGCGGGGCGAGCCGUUGGGCGAGGGCGGUCCUGGCCGGGGCUUUGGGCAUGUACAGGCUGCAGCACAAUUUGGAGCGCUGGGUAAGAUGUCCUGGAACAAGAGCACUUUGAUUCCUCUGACUGUGGCCAGUGCCCAGCCGGGCCCACACCAUGCAUUGCUCUCCUCCUGCGCCGAGCCAAGUGAAAAAGGGUGCAAGGACAGGUGGCAGCCGCUUCCAGGGGAUGUCCUGCUCUGGGGCCUGGUGUUCAUUUUUUUGUUGCCCUGCUGGGUACAGAAUAAAACGUCAGGUAUUUAUAUGUUUGAAGUCAUAUUUACCUGUCCAGUUAAUGAUACAGAGUCUCGUCUUACCCUUUGCAAUCCAGAAAUAUGA